UACGGAGGGUGCAAGCGUUGUUCGGAUUUACUGGGCGUAAAGGGCGCGUAGGCGGCUUGGUAAGUCGGGUGUGAAAUCCUUCCACUUAACGGAAGAAGUGCACCCGAAACUGCCUUGCUCGAGUUUAGGAGAGGAGAGCGGAAUUCCCGGUGUAGAGGUGAAAUUCGUAGAUAUCGGGAGGAACACCCGCGGCGAAAGCGGCUCUCUGGCCUAAUACUGACGCUGAGGCGCGAAAGCGUGGGGAGCAUACACG
rnacentral:rRNA from 1 species